CAUUACUGAGUUACCGCUCUAUAACCCUUUGUGAACAUACCUAACCGUUGCUUCGGCGGGCAGGGGAAGCCUCUCGCGGGCCUCCCCUCCCGGCGCCGGCCCCCACCACGGGGACGGGGCGCCCGCCGGAGGAAACCAAACUCUAUUUACACGACGUCUCUUCUGAGUGGCACAAGCAAAUAAUUAAAACUUUUAACAACGGAUCUCUUGGUUCUGGCAUCGAUGAAGAACGCAGCGAAAUGCGAUAAGUAAUGUGAAUUGCAGAAUUCAGUGAAUCAUCGAAUCUUUGAACGCACAUUGCGCUCGCCAGCAUUCUGGCGAGCAUGCCUGUUCGAGCGUCAUUUCAACCCUCAAGCACCGCUUGGUUUUGGGGCCCCACGGCACACGUGGGCCCUUAAAGGUAGUGGCGGACCCUCCCGGAGCCUCCUUUGCGUAGUAACUAACGUCUCGCACUGGGAUUCGGAGGGACUCUUGCCGUAAAACCCCCAAAUUUUUUACAGGUUGACCUCGGAUCAGGUAGGAAUACCCGCUGAACUUAAGCAUAUCAAUAAGCGGAGGA
rnacentral:rRNA from 1 species